UGGGGAAUAUUGCACAAUGGCGGAAGCCAUGACUGCAGCGACGCCGCGUGAGGGAUGACGGCCUUCGGGUUGUAAACCUCUUUCAGUAGGGAAGAAGCGAAAGUGACGGUACCUGCAGAAGAAGCGCCGGCUAACUACGUGCCAGCAGCCGCGGUAAUACGUAGGGCGCAAGCGUUAUCCGGAAUUAUUGGGCGUAAAGAGCUCGUAGGCGGUUUGUCGCGUCUGCCGUGAAAGUCCGAGGCUCAACCUCGGAUCUGCGGUGGGUACGGGCAGACUAGAGUGAUGUAGGGGAGACUGGAAUUCCUGGUGUAGCGGUGAAAUGCGCAGAUAUCAGGAGGAACACCGAUUGGCGAAGGCAGGUCUCUGGGCA
rnacentral:rRNA from 1 species